rnacentral:rRNA from 1 species
GGUUAAGCGAAUAAGCGUACACGGUGGAUGCCUAGGCAAUCAGAGGCGAUGAAGGACGUGCUAAUCUGCGAAAAGCGUCGGUAAGGUGAUAUGAACCGUUAUACCCGACGAUAUCCGAAUGGGGAAACCCAGUAUCCAAUGGAUACUAUCAUUAACUGAAUCCAUAGGUUAAUGAGGCGAACCGGGAGAACUGAAACAUCUCAGUACCCCGAGGAAAAGAAAUCAACCGAGAUUCCCCUAGUAGCGGCGAGCGAACGGGGAGCAGCCCAGAGUCUUAAUCAAUAGCAGUGUCAGGAGAACGGUCUGGAAAGUCCGGCAGUAAAGGGUGAUAGCCCCGUAUCUGAAGAUGCUGUUAUUGUGAACUCGACGAGUAGGGCGGGACACGUGUUAUCCUGUCUGAAUAUGGGGGGACCAUCCUCCAAGGCUAAAUACUCCUGAUUGACCGAUAGUGAACCAGUACCGUGAGGGAAAGGCGAAAAGAACCCCGGCGAGGGGAGUGAAAAAGAACCUGAAACCGUGUACGUACAAGCAGUAGGAGCCUCUUUAUGGGGUGACUGCGUACCUUUUGUAUAAUGGGUCAGCGACUUAUAUUCUGUAGCAAGGUUAACCGUAUAGGGGAGCCGUAGGGAAACCGAGUCUUAACUGGGCGAAUGAGUUGCAGGGUAUAGACCCGAAACCCGGUAAUCUAUCCAUGGGCAGGUUGAAGGUUGGGUAACACUAACUGGAGGACCGAACCGACUAAUGUUGAAAAAUUAGCGGAUGACUUGUGGAUGGGGGUGAAAGGCCAAUCAAACCGGGAGAUAGCUGGUUCUCCCCGAAAGCUAUUUAGGUAGCGCCUCGUGAACUCAUCUUCGGGGGUAGAGCACUGUUUCGACUAGGGGGUCAUCCCGACUUACCAACUCGAUGCAAACUGCGAAUACCGAAGAAUGUUAUCACGGGAGACACACGGCGGGUGCUAACGUCCGUCGUGAAGAGGGAAACAACCCAGACCGCCAGCUAAGGUCCCAAAGUCAUGGUUAAGUGGGAAACGAAGUGGGAAGGCUCAGACAGCCAGGAUGUUGGCUUAGAAGCAGCCAUCAUUUAAAGAAAGCGUAAUAGCUCACUGGUCGAGUCGGCCCGCGCGGAAGAUGUAACGGGGCUAAACCAUGCACCGAAGCUGCGGCAGCGACACAAAGUGUUGUUGGGUAGGGGAGCGUUCUGUAAGCCUGCGAAGGUGUACUGUGAGGUAUGCUGGAGGUAUCAGAAGUGCGAAUGCUGACAUAAGUAACGAUAAUGCGGGUGAAAAACCCGCACGCCGGAAGACCAAGGGUUCCUGUCCAACGUUAAUCGGGGCAGGGUGAGUCGACCCCUAAGGCGAGGCUGAAAAGCGUAGUCGAUGGGAAACGGGUUAAUAUUCCCGUACUGGUGGUAACUGCGAUGGGGGAACGGAGAAGGCUAGGUUGUCCGGGCGACGGUCGUCCCGGUUCAAGCAGGUAGGCAGAGUGAUUAGGCAAAUCCGGUCACUUAAUGCUGAGAUGUGAUGACGAACCACCAAGGUGGUGAAGCAAUUGAUGCCCCGCUUCCAGGAAAAGCCUCUAAGCUUCAGGUUACCAACAAUCGUACCCCAAACCGACACAGGUGGUCAGGUAGAGAAUACUCAGGCGCUUGAGAGAACUCGGGUGAAGGAACUAGGCAAAAUGGUGCCGUAACUUCGGGAGAAGGCACGCUGGCGGUAGGUAAAGUCCCUCGCGGACGGCGCUGAAGCCAGUCGAAGAUACCAGCUGGCUGCAACUGUUUAUUAAAAACACAGCACUGUGCAAACACGAAAGUGGACGUAUACGGUGUGACGCCUGCCCGGUGCUGGAAGGUUAAUUGAUGGGGUCAGCCGUAAGGCGAAGCUCCUGAUCGAAGCCCCAGUAAACGGCGGCCGUAACUAUAACGGUCCUAAGGUAGCGAAAUUCCUUGUCGGGUAAGUUCCGACCUGCACGAAUGGCGUAAUGAUGGCCAGGCUGUCUCCACCCGAGACUCAGUGAAAUUGAACUCGCUGUGAAGAUGCAGUGUACCCGCGGCAAGACGGAAAGACCCCGUGAACCUUUACUAUAGCUUGACACUGAACAUUGAGCCUUGAUGUGUAGGAUAGGUGGGAGGCUUUGAAGUGUGGACGCCAGUCUGCAUGGAGCCAACCUUGAAAUACCACCCUUUAACGUUUGAUGUUCUAACCUAGGCCCAUAAACUGGGUCGGGGACCGUGUCUGGUGGGUAGUUUGACUGGGGCGGUCUCCUCCUAAAGAGUAACGGAGGAGCACGAAGGUUGGCUAAGCAUGGUCGGACAUCAUGCGGUUAGUGCAAAGGCAUAAGCGCUUGACUGCGAGAGUGACGGCUCGAGCAGGUACGAAAGUAGGUCUUAGUGAUCCGGUGGUUCUGAAUGGAAGGGCCAUCGCUCAACGGAUAAAAGGUACUCCGGGGAUAACAGGCUGAUACCGCCCAAGAGUUCAUAUCGACGGCGGUGUUUGGCACCUCGAUGUCGGCUCAUCACAUCCUGGGGCUGAAGUAGGUCCCAAGGGUAUGGCUGUUCGCCAUUUAAAGUGGUACGCGAGCUGGGUUUAGAACGUCGUGAGACAGUUCGGUCCCUAUCUGCCGUGGGCGUUGGAAGAUUGAGAGGGGUUGCUCCUAGUACGAGAGGACCGGAGUGAACGCACCACUGGUGUUCGGGUUGUCAUGCCAAUGGCAUUGCCCGGUAGCUAAGUGCGGAAGAGAUAACCGCUGAAAGCAUCUAAGCGGGAAACUUGCCUCGAGAUGAGUCUUCCCUGUCGCUUUAAGCGACCUAAAGGAACGUUUAAGACUAAGACGUUGAUAGGCUGGGUGUGUAAGCGUAGCGAUACGUUGAGCUAACCAGUACUAAUGAACCGUGAGGCUUAACCUG